CUCGCUCUCCGUAUCUAACCUAUAUCACCCUCUCUCUCACCUCCGCCCGGAAUCGCCGCUGGAAAUCGCCUACGAUGGCGGCGACACCCCAAACCACCCCGAAAUUUAACCACACAAUCUCCAGCCUCCGCUCAUCACUAUACUACCAUAAAUUCCUCCAAAAUCCCUAACCAUUUUCUUCAAUUUAAAAUAUGAGAUUCCAAAAAAUAAAUAAAAACCCUAGUCCACCUCCCUUUCUGUUUUCUUUGAGUUUCUGGCUCGUUUGGCCUAAAAUUCGUAAUGAUCAACUGUUCUUCCACAAGAAUAAUCGAUUGAUACCAAUUUUAGAUCAUUUCAAGGUCGCUGGAUUCCAGCCAACUUACCACUCACCGACCAAAGCCUCGUCGCCAUCAUUAUUUAUCGAUUCGUCUCAAUCGCUCCUUCAUCUCGGCAAAAAUCUCUACUGCUGGUGGUCAAGUAAUUUAUAAGAGUAUCCUAGUGGCUAUCUCAUUGUAAAUCAAGAUCAACAAGGGAAUUAAAAAAGUCACUAGCCUAAAUCAUUUUUUUCUCUUUCUGGAUAAUGUUUGAAGAAGGUGGUUAGGAGCAAUAAUGUACAGUUCUGCUUCCUUAUUUAUAAAAGGAAUGGAACUCGUUGGGUUGUAGUUAGGUAAUGACUUGCAUUGAUUUAAUUUAUUUACCUCUUUUGUAUUGAUAAGUUAAUUUAAUAGUUGAUCCUGUUGUACUAUUUUAAACCUGUUGUAGUUAAAUACAUGCAUAUUUGAUUCUAUAGCUUUAUAGUGA